rnacentral:rRNA from 1 species
GUGGGGAAUCUUGCGCAAUGGGCGAAAGCCUGACGCAGCCAUGCCGCGUGAAUGAUGAAGGUCUUAGGAUUGUAAAAUUCUUUCACCGGGGACGAUAAUGACGGUACCCGGAGAAGAAGCUCCGGCUAACUUCGUGCCAGCAGCCGCGGUAAUACGAAGGGGGCUAGCGUUGCUCGGAAUUACUGGGCGUAAAGGGCGCGUAGGCGGACAGCUUAGUCAGAGGUGAAAGCCCAGGGCUCAACCUUGGAAUUGCCUUUGAUACUGGCUGUCUUGAGUUUGGGAGAGGUGAGUGGAACUCCGAGUGUAGUGGUGAAAUUCGUAGAUAUUCGGAAGAACACCAGUGGCGAAGGCGACUCACUGGCCCAAUACUGACGCUGAGGCGCGAAAGCGUGGGGAGCAAACAGGAUUAGAAACCCGGGUAGUCC